GGAGCCCUAGUAAAAGAAUUAUAUAGCCCUGUCAGAGCUAAGUUAUAGGUUAACACCUGUGGGCUCCA
rnacentral:tRNA from 1 species